rfam:Bifidobacterium mongoliense DSM 21395 Contig10, whole genome shotgun sequence.
GGGGCUGAUCGGUUUCGACGGUGACCUGUUCGUCGCAGGGAAGCGUGCCGAGAACGCAGGGUCCACUCGUGGAUGACCCCUGCAAAUCAUCAAGUGCUAAAUCUAACCGCACUGAGUUUGCUCUCGCUGCCUGAGCGUUAAGCCAGGAAUAACCAGCGAGCAGUAGCUCCGUCCGCUCUCCAGUGUCUUCGGGGAGAGGCCGGGCGUUAUAAGAGGACUUGCUUGAAUCGUUGCACCACAGGGCGGUUCAGGGACUUUUACUGUAGAUAUGCUCGCCAUCGGUUGUCUGCGAUAUAGAUGGGGGCAGAAAAACUGCCAUACGGCCAGCAGGCUACGCACGUAGAAGACUGAGGGUACGGUUACCGGACCGGGGUUCGAUUCCCCGCAGCUCCACGA